rnacentral:rRNA from 1 species
UACGUAGGGUGCGAGCGUUGUCCGGAAUUAUUGGGCGUAAAGGGCUCGUAGGCGGUCUGUCGCGUCGGGAGUGAAAACUCAGGGCUUAACCCUGAGCCUGCUUCCGAUACGGGCAGACUAGAGGUAUGCAGGGGAGAACGGAAUUCCUGGUGUAGCGGUGGAAUGCGCAGAUAUCAGGAGGAACACCGGUGGCGAAGGCGGCCAUCUGGACGAGUACUGACGCUGAGACGCGAAAGCGUGGGGAGCAAACAGG